rnacentral:tRNA from 1 species
UCCUCGGUAGUAUAGUGGUGAGUAUCCCAGCCUGACACGCGGGAGACCGGGGUUCAAUUCCCCGCCGGGGAG